UGCGGUUAACCACAACGUUCUAAUUGGGAUCAAGAGGUUAACCAGCAGCACACUUCUCAACGACAAGGCGACGACGCAUUCGUAUGUCAAUCCACAUCAACUUUCGAUGCCAUUUACUGCACCUACCAUGGUGACCACGGGUAAUGGGGAAUCAAGGUUCGAUUCCAUACAGGAACUCUGACAAACGGCUACCACAUGCAAGGAAGGCAGCUGGCACGCAAAUGACCCACUCCCGACGCGGGGAGGUAGUGACG